rnacentral:rRNA from 1 species
GACAGAGGGUGCAAACGUUGUUCGGAAUUACUGGGCGUAAAGCGCGUGUAGGCGGCCUCGCAAGUCGGAUGUGAAAGCCCUGGGCUCAACCCAGGAAGUGCACUCGAAACUGCAAGGCUUGAGUCCCGGAGAGGAAAGCGGAAUUCUCGGUGUAGAGGUGAAAUUCGUAGAUAUCGAGAGGAACACCGGUGGCGAAGGCGGCUUUCUGGACGGCGACUGACGCUGAGACGCGAAAGCGUGGGGAGCAAACAGG